GGAUAUGGAUGGGCUCGCGUGACAUUAGCUAGUUGGUGAGGUAACGGCUCACCAAGGCGACGAUGUCUAGGGGCUCUGAGAGGAGAAUCCCCCACACUGGUACUGAGACAGAACCAGACUCCUCACGGGAGGCAGCAGUAAGGAAUAUUGGUCAAUGGACGGAAGUCUGAACCAGCCAUGCCGCGUGCAGGAUGACUGCCCUAUGGGUUGUAAACUGCUUUUGUCGAGGAAUAAACCUAUCUACGUGUAGACAGCUGAAUGUACUCGAAGAAUAAGGAUCGGCUAACUCCGUGCCAGCAGCCGCGGUAAUACGGAGGAUCCGAGCGUUAUCCGGAUUUAUUGGGUUUAAAGGGUGCGUAGGCGGCACUUUAAGUCAGGGGUGAAAGACGGCAGCUUAACUGUCGCAGUGCCUUUGAUACUGAAGUGCUUGAAUGCGGUUGAAGACGGCGGAAUGAGACAAGUAGCGGUGAAAUGCAUAGAUAUGUCUCAGAACACCGAUUGCGAAGGCAGCUGUCUAAGCCGUUAUUGACGCUGAUGCACGAAAGCGUGGGGAUCGAACAGGAUUAGAUACCCUGGUAGUCCACGCCCUAAACGAUGAUAACUCGAUGUUUGCGAUAUACCGUAAGCGUCCAAGCGAAAGCGUUAAGUUAUCCACCUGGGGAGUACGCCCGCAAGGGUGAAACUCAAAGGAAUUGACGGGGGCCCGCACAAGCGGAGGAGCAUGUGGUUUAAUUCGAUGAUACGCGAGGAACCUUACCCGGGCUUGAAAGUUACUGAAGGAUGCAGAGACGCAUCCGUCCUUCGGGACAGGAAACUAGGUGCUGCAUGGCUGUCGUCAGCUCGUGCCGUGAGGUGUUGGGUUAAGUCCCGCAACGAGCGCAACCCCUAUGUUUAGUUGCCAGCAUUUAAGGUGGGGACUCUAAACAGACUGCCUGCGCAAGCAGAGAGGAAGGCGGGGACGACGUCAAGUCAUCAUGGCCCUUACGUCCGGGGCUACACACGUGCUACAAUGGAUGGUACAGCGGGCAGCUACAUAGCAAUAUGAUGCCAAUCUCGAAAAGCCAUUCACAGUUCGGAUCGGGGUCUGCAACUCGACCCCGUGAAGUUGGAUUCGCUAGUAAUCGCGUAUCAGCAAUGACGCGGUGAAUACGUUCCCGGGCCUUGUACACACCGCCCGUCAAGCCAUGAAAGC
rnacentral:rRNA from 1 species